rnacentral:rRNA from 1 species
AACGCGAAGAACCUUACCAGGUCUUGACAUCCUCUGACAAUCCUAGAGAUAGGACGUUCCCCUUCGGGGGACAGAGUGACAGGUGGUGCAUGGUUGUCGUCAGCUCGUGUCGUGAGAUGUUGGGUUAAGUCCCGCAACGAGCGCAACCCUUGUCCUUAGUUGCCAGCAUUCAGUUGGGCACUCUAAGGAGACUGCCGGUGACAAACCGGAGGAAGGUGGGGAUGACGUCAAAUCAUCAUGCCCCUUAUGACCUGGGCUACACACGUGCUACAAUGGAUGGUACAAAGGGCUGCGAGACCGCGAGGUUUAGCCAAUCCCAUAAAACCAUUCUCAGUUCGGAUUGUAGGCUGCAACUCGCCUACAUGAAGCCGGAAUCGCUAGUAAUCGUGGAUCAGCAUGCCACGGUGAAUACGUUCCCGGGCCUUGUA